UACGAAGGGGGCUAGCGUUGCUCGGAAUCACUGGGCGUAAAGGGUGCGUAGGUGGGUCUUUAAGUCAGAGGUGAAAUCCUGGAGCUCAACUCCAGAACUGCCUUUGAUACUGAGGAUCUUGAGUUCGGGAGAGGUGAGUGGAACUGCGAGUGUAGAGGUGAAAUUCGUAGAUAUUCGCAAGAACACCAGUGGCGAAGGCGGCUCACUGGCCUGAUACUGACACUGAGGCACGAAAGCGUGGGGAGCAAACAGG
rnacentral:rRNA from 1 species